UGGGAGGAACAGGAACUUGAUGAAGAAGCUAUACUUGAUCACUAGGAAACUAUUACCAGCAAACAACACAUCAAAUGAGACUACUAGACUUACUGCACCUCAUCAGUCUACUUUAUCAUUUGAAAAUACAGAAGAAACUUCAUCAUUUAAAAACCAAUCAAGAUCACCAGAAGAAAUAGACCUAUCUAAUCAAUAUGAUAAUGCAAGUGUCAUGUCUUCAUCUAGUUGCAUGCAUUCUGAAGUAUGUGAUGUCACAAGUUACAAUGAAGAGAGCUCAAACAUGGAGCAUGAAAAUAUAGCCAAUUCAUGCAGAACACCUGUCAAUUGUGAGGUGAAAGAAACGAAAACUGAUACUAAAGUGCAGAAUAGUGACAUUUUAAGUUUAUUAGAUUAUGUAAAGAAGAUACCUGAGAGAAAAAGACAAAGAAUCGAGAGGAAGCUUGAAGCAAAAGGUGGCAAUCACACGAUGUUACAUAUCAUUGAUACUGGAGGACAGCCUGAGUUUCAUGAAAUAUUACCAGCUCUCAUAACUGGCCCGGCUAUCAAUCUACUGGUAUUCAAACUAACUGAAGAUUUAAGAAGUCGCUAUAAAAUAAUAUAUCGAACUUCUGCUGGUGAUUCUGAACCUUAUGAAACCUCAUUGACACAUGAAGAAGUGAUAUUCCGUUCACUAGCAAGUAUAGCUUGUUUAAGACAGAACACUAUUGGAUGGAGUUUUGAUGAAGUACCUAUUGAAGAUAAGUCAGAACCUGUUGCCUUCCUUAUUGCUACACACAGGGACCAAGUGGAUGAGAAUAAAGUGAAUGAAGUCAAUGAACAACUGCAAACAAAAAUUAAAAAGAGUUCAGAUUUGUUUAAUGAAAACCUUGUACAAUUCUCUAAAGAAGAACAAGUCAUUUUUCCGCUUGACACGACAAAGGAUGAAGAAAAAGUAGAACAUCUUCGCUUUUUUCUUCACCAGGUUAUAUCUCAAAAAUUUCAGGAAUUAAAAAUACCAGCACCUUGGUGUAUUUUUAGUUUAAAAUUAAGAAAAAGUACAAAAAAACUUUUCCAUUAUGAUUCAUGUUUCAACUUAGGUAAAGAGUGUGGUAUCCAAGAUACUGUAGAGUUUAAAAACGUUUUGUGGUAUUUGCAUCACAGAGUGGGUAUCAUCAUGCAUUAUCCUAAUGUAGCAGGUUUAGAGGAUGUUAUUAUCACUGAUCUUCAACUGGUGUUUGAUCGUAUCACUAAUCUCAUCACAACAUGCUUCACUUUUGAACAGUCAGGCAGUGCUGCUGUGGGAGAAGAAUUCCGUAAAAAUGGACGUUUUUCAGAAUCACAACUAGAUGAGAUGUCAUCAAGAGAGAAAGGUGAUCCUCUUAAUACAAAGAAACUAGUAGCACUACUGAAGCAUCUUUAUAUUGUAGCUGGUCCUAUGAAAACUAAAGUUGGUCGAAAAACUGUCAAGUAUUACUUUAUGCCUUGUGCUCUGAAACCAGCAGAUGUCGAAAAAGAGGAGAGAAAUGGAUCAGUUAGUCCAGCUCCUUUAUUGAUAUGUUUUGAGUGCGGGUAUACUCCUGUUGGUGUAUUCUGUUGUCUAGUAGUGUAUCUUCUUGAUCAGAAAACAGACCAAGUGUUGGAAUGGAAGUUAACUGGUAAUGAUCAAUAUCGUAAUAGGAUUACCUUUCAAGUUGGUCAGUACUAUGAUACAGUUACCUUAAUCAGUUGUGCUACUUAUCUUGAAGUUUGGGUUCAACAAAUAAAAGGCUCAAAGCUGUCAACAAGUGAAUUAUUAUCAUCAUUGGACAAAGGAGUAGACAUAGUUACACAGUCACUCCAUUACACUUACAAGUCAAAGCAUAUGUUUGGAGUGCAAUGUACAUGCACUGCAGUACCUCAUCCUGCUGUGAUUGGCUUUAAUGAAGAAGCAACUAAAUGUGUGAAUGGCAGAAUAGUGGAGUUUAAUGAGAAGCAAUUGUACUGGUCCACUAAGGUUGUUAAGCUGAACAACACAACACAAAAUACAAGCUGUGAAAUACCAUCUCAAACUGAAUCCCACGUUCCUAAAAGUUUUUCAUUCCAUGACACAGCUGCAAUAGAUACAGAAGUUUGUCCUAGAGACUUGUUUCGUCAAUGCUCAGCUGAUAUUACCCAUUGUGUUUCGUUAGAUGUAGUACGUGUUGCUGAUAGACUGUUUGCUGCAAAAGUGAUACCUGAAGCAUUAAGAAAUGAAAUCUCCAGUUUAACAGUUCUUAUUCAAAUCCCACUGAGUAUCUUACUGAUGUGUGCUAUGCAUUGCUCCUAAUAGACAAUGAAACACUUAAGCACAUUCUUAAUAGUAUAUUAAAGGAGUUGGGAAAACCUCAAGAAAGCAAAGAGGAUAUGAGUAAAAGCUCUAAU
rnacentral:misc_RNA from 1 species